CUCGACUCUAGAAACUCGCAACGGGGCUCGUGAAGACAUUUAUCCCAUCUUUACAAUGCAAAACUUUUACGAAGUGUGCGGCUAUUCCGAGUUAUUAUCGGUUUUAACCGGAGUUGUUGCACGCGACAAGUUUAGAAUUCGCGGAUGUUGUUCAGAAAUACGUGAAGUUGUGUAAAAACUCGGGAUGGGAUGAUGACAGCAACCAUCUCGAAAGGGACAGGUUUCGGAAGUGAUAGAUUGCCCAAAAUUAUACACCAUGUCGCUCUUCACCUGGCCUGGAGACACUUGCGGAAAUUCAUCAAGGACACUCGUUAAUCACUUCAUUAGUCAUUACGAACAAUGCGAGAUCAUCGAGAAGGCUAGCGGCCUUCAUUAUAUCGUGAUAAUGACGUCAUUAAUUUUCAGACCGACGAGAACUUUUCCAAAUUGUGUAUGCCAUAUUUGAUAGGAAAACUCAUUCCCACGAUUUUUAAUAAUGAUGAAUUUUUCAAAAAUCGUGUAGAGAAUAAAAUCGAUGUAGAACUUCAAGAAGUAUCCGUGAAUUUCAUUUUAAUUGAGAACUACAUGCGAUGAAACUAUUUCAUUGAGAACCGUGGUUUGUAAUGGCACAGAAGUUUGCACUGUGAUUGUUAACUCAUUAAGCUCUACUGUCUAAAUAUUCAUAUGGUGAGCUGGCAAUCUUCCAGAUCUUAAAAGUCUGUUUAGUAAUAAUAUAUACACAUAACAGUCUCGUGAAGUUCUUCGUGAAGUUCUCGGUUUCUUGAAAUUAGUUUCGCUUUAAAUGUUUCUUUAACUUUAUUCAAAA